rfam:Chaetomium globosum CBS 148.51 scaffold_7 genomic scaffold, whole genome shotgun sequence.
GCCCGGCUAGCUCAAUCGGUAGAGCGUGAGACUCUUACUUCCCCAUCAAGGGCCAGAAAGACGAUCUCAAGGUUGUGGGUUCGACCCCCACGUCGGGCU